AUUUAGAUAGUUUAAUUUAAAAUAUUGAUUUGUGGAAUCAAAGAUAUUAGUAAAAUUCUAAAUA
rnacentral:tRNA from 1 species